UACGGAGGGUGCGAGCGUUGUCCGGAAUCAUUGGGCGUAAAGGGCGCGUAGGUGGCGGGACAAGCGUGCGGUGAAAGCUCGGGGCUCAACCCCGAGUCGGCCGUGCGAACUGUUUUGCUUGAGCACUGUAGAGGCAGGCGGAAUUCCGGGUGUAGCGGCGGAACGCGUAGAGAUCCGGAAGAACACCGGUGGCGAAGGCGGCCUGCUGGGCAGUAGCUGACACUGAGGCGCGACAGCGUGGGGAGCAAACAGG
rnacentral:rRNA from 1 species